rnacentral:rRNA from 1 species
UACGGGGGGGGCAAGCGUUGUUCGGAAUUACUGGGCGUAAAGGGCUCGUAGGCGGCCGAUCAAGUCGGGGGUGAAAGCCUGUGGCUCAACCACAGAAUUGCCUUCGAUACUGUUUGGCUUGAGACCGGAAGAGGUUAGUGGAACUGCGAGUGUAGAGGUGAAAUUCGUAGAUAUUCGCAAGAACACCAGUGGCGAAGGCGGCUGACUGGUCCGGUUCUGACGCUGAGGCGCGAAAGCGUGGGGAGCAAACAGG